GAAAUGCGAUAAGUAAUGUGAAUUGCAGAAUUCAGUGAAUCAUCGAAUCUUUGAACGCACAUUGCGCUCGCCAGUAUUCUGGCGAGCAUGCCUGUUAGAGCGUCAUUUCAACCAUCAAGCUCUGCUUGCGUUGGGGAUCCGCGGCUGCCCGCGGUCCCUCAAAAACAGUGGCGGGCUCGCUAGUCACACCGAGCGUAGUAACUCUACAUCGCUAUGGUCGUGCGGCGGGUUCUUGCCGUAAAACCCCCAAUUUCUAAGGUUGACCUCGGAUCAGGUAGGAAUACCCGCUGAACUUAAGC
rnacentral:misc_RNA from 1 species